rnacentral:rRNA from 1 species
UACGUAGGGUGCAAGCGUUAAUCGGAAUUACUGGGCGUAAAGCGUGCGCAGGCGGUUUUGUAAGCCCGAUGUGAAAUCCCCGGGCUUAACCUGGGAAUGGCAUUUGGGACUGCAAGGCUCGAGUGCGGCAGAGGAGACUGGAAUUCCUGGUGUAGCAGUGAAAUGCGUAGAUAUCAGGAGGAACACCGAUGGCGAAGGCAGGUCUCUGGGCUGACACUGACGCUCAUGCACGAAAGCGUGGGGAGCAAACAGG